GGAGGCCUACGGGACGCAGCAGUGGGGAAUAUUGCACAAUGGGGGAAACCCUGAUGCAGCGACGCCGCGUGAGUGAGGAAGUAUCUCGGUACGUAAAGCUCUAUCAGCAGGGAAGAAAAAAAGUCUUUGGCUUUGGACGGUACCUGACUAAGAAGCCCCGGCUAACUACGUGCCAGCAGCCGCGGUAAUACGUAGGGGGCAAGCGUUAUCCGGAUUUACUGGGUGUAAAGGGAGCGUAGACGGCAGCGCAAGUCUGGAGUGGAAUGCCGGGGCUCAACCCCGGAACUGCUUUGGAAGCUGUGCAG
rnacentral:rRNA from 1 species